CCGUAAGGCCUUGCGCAAUUAGAGCGGCCGAUACCUGAUUAGCUAGUUGGUGAGGUAAAGGCUCACCAAGGCAACGAUCAGUAGCUGGUUUGAGAGGGCGAUCAGCCACCCUGGGACUGAGACCCGGCCCCGACUCCUUCGGGAGGCAGCCGUGGGGAAUUUUGGACAAUGGGGGGAACCCUGAUCCAGCAAUGCCGCGUGAGUGAAGAAGGCCUUCGGGUUGUAAAGCUUUUUUGUCAGGGAAGAAACAGCAGCUUUAACACAGUUUGCGAAUGACGGUACCUGAAGAAUAAGCACCGGCUAACUACGUG
rnacentral:rRNA from 1 species